rnacentral:rRNA from 1 species
UACAGAGGUCUCAAGCGUUGUUCGGAUUCAUUGGGCGUAAAGGGUGCGUAGGCGGCGCGGUAAGUCGGGUGUGAAAUCUCGGAGCUUAACUCCGAAACUGCAUUCGAUACUGCCGUGCUUGAGGACUGGAGAGGAGACUGGAAUUCCUAGUGUAGAGGUGAAAUUCGUAGAUAUUAGGAAGAACACCAGUGGCGAAGGCGGCUCACUGGUCCGGUACUGACGCUGAGGUGCGAAAGCGUGGGGAGCAAACAGG